CCUACGGGUGACAGCAGUGAGGAAUAUUGGUCAAUGGACGAGAGUCUGAACCAGCCAAGUAGCGUGAAGGAUGACUGCCCUAUGGGUUGUAAACUUCUUUUAUAUGGGAAUAAAACGUUCCACGUGUGGGAUUUUGUAUGUACCAUAUGAAUAAGGAUCGGCUAACUCCGUGCCAGCAGCCGCGGUAAUACGGAGGAUCCGAGCGUUAUCCGGAUUUAUUGGGUUUAAAGGGAGCGUAGGUGGAUUGUUAAGUCAGUUGUGAAAGUUUGCGGCUCAACCGUAAAAUUGCAGUUGAAACUGGCAGUCUUGAGUGCGGUAGAGGUGGGCGGAAUGCGUGGUGUUGCGGUGAAAUGCUUAGAUAUCACGAAGAACUCCGAUUGCGAAGGCAGUUCACUGGACUGCAACUGACACUGAGGCUCGAAAGUGUGGGUAUCAAACAGGAUUAGAUACCCGGGUAGUC
rnacentral:rRNA from 1 species